UCAUGGCUCAGAACAAACGCUGGCGGCGUGCCUAAUACAUGCAAGUCGAACGGGGAAAGUAGCAAUACGAGUACUAGUGGCGCACGGGUGAGGAAUACAUGGGUAAUCUGCCCUCGAGCUCGGGAUAACCAGUCGAAAGACUGGCUAAUACCGGAUAUGACCACAAGAUCUGAGGAUCAAGGGGUAAAAGGUUUUUCGCUUGAGGAUGAGCCCAUGUGGGAUUAGCUAGUUGGUGUAGGUAACGGCUCACCAAGGCGACGAUCCCUAACUGGUCUUAGAGGAUGAUCAGUCACACUGGAACUGAGACACGGUCCAGACUCCUACGGGAGGCAGCAGUAGGGAAUAUUGCACAAUGGAGGAAACUCUGAUGCAGCGACGCCGCGUGAGUGAUGAAGGCCUUCGGGUCGUAAAGCUCUGUCGUAUGGGACUAACAAAAUGAAGGUACCAUGCAAGAAAGGAUCGGCUAACUUCGUG
rnacentral:rRNA from 1 species